GCCCGUGUAGCUCAGUCAGGGCAGAGCAAUAGGGGGCAGACUCCUAUGGGCGCCGGUUCAAAUCCGGCCACGGGCC
rnacentral:tRNA from 1 species